rnacentral:rRNA from 1 species
GACCCGUCUUGAAACACGGACCAAGGAGUCUGACACGCGCGCGAGUCGUCGGGUUCGUACGAAACCCGAAGGCGCAUUGAAAGAGAAGCCCGGCCCUCCGCGGCCGGGCUAGGGACGAUGGCGGCCUCCUCGGGGGUAGCCCGCAGUCCCGGGGCGUCUCACGCCACGCGAUCUCGUGUCGCGAGGCCGAGGCGCACCAAGAGCGCGCGCGUCGGUACCCGAAAGAUGGUGAACUAUGCCUGGCCAGGACGAAGUCAGGGGAAACCCUGAUGGAGGUCCGUAGCGAUUCUGACGUGCAAAUCGAUCGUCAGAGCUGGGUAUAGGGGCGAAAGACUAAUCGAACCAUCUAGUAGCUGGUUCCCUCCGAAGUUUCCCUCAGGAUAGCUGGCGCUCGGAGGUACGGAUCCCAUCCGGUAAAGCGAAUGAUUAGAGGCCGUGGGAUCGAAACGAUUUCAACCUAUUCUCAAACUUUAAAUGGGUGGGAACCGCGGCCUGCUCGAGCAGUGAGGCCGCGGAUCCCGGACCUGAGUGCCCAGUGGGCCACUUUUGGUAAGCAGAACUGGCGCUGUGGGAUGAACCAAACGCCGGGUUAAGGCGCCUAAACGACGCUCAUAAGACACCAUGAAAGGUGUUGGUUGCUUAAGACAGCAGGACGGUGGCCAUGGAAGUCGGAAUCCGCUAAGGAGUGUGUAAAAACUCACCUGCCGAAGCAACUAGCCCUGAAAAUGGAUGGCGCUGAAGCGUCGUGCCUAUACCCGGCCGCCGGUGGCAGAGGGCCGACGCCUACUGUUGGCCGCAAAGCCCCGGUGAGUAGGAGGGUCGCCGCGGUGAGCGCAGAAGGGUCUGGGCGCGAGCCUGCCUGGAGCCGCCGCGGGUGCAGAUCUUGGUGGUAGUAGCAAAUACUCCAGCGAGGACCUGGAGGACCGAUGUGGAGAAGGGUUCCGUGUGAACAGCCGUUGCACACGGGUCAGUCGAUCCUAAGCCCUAGGCGACAGCCGAUGUUGAUGGCCGCGGGAAGUACCAAACGAGGUAAAGACCGAAGAGGCGCGAAAGGUACGACACGUUUCCCUUGCCAAGUAGCCGUUUCCUAGCCGGGACUCUAGCGCGUAACCGCAUUUUCCGAAGCGAGCAUGUUUGCUGCGUGGUAGGAACAUGCCGGAUAGCGCGCAAAAAGAGAGAUCGAAGGCGAAGAACGGUGAAACGAAAGGAGAUAUGUAGCCUGGUAGCAACCAACGGUCGCAACCCUCAAAGAGAAACCCCGUCCGUCGGGCGAAAGGGAAUCCGGUUCCUAUUCCGGAACCCGGUCGCGGGACCGUCCUCUCGAUUCUCGUAUUGACGCGGCAACGCGACGGACCCCAGAGAUGCCGUCUGGAGCCCCGGGAAGAGUUUUCUUUUCUGUUUGAGCGUUCGGGUUCCAUGGAAUCCUCUCGUAGGGAGAUAUGGAAUGGAGCGCGAAGAGCACCGCAGUUGCUGCGGUGUCCGGGGAGUCCCGUCGGCCCUUGAAAAUCUGGGUGAGGAUCACGUGGAGGCGCCGCACCGGCUCGUACCCAUAUCCGCAGCAGGUCUCCGAGGUCCAGAGCCUCUGGUCGAUAGAC